GAGCCCGGCUGUUAAGCUGGUUAACACCCGACUCAUAAUCGGAUAUUCGCGGGUUCGAUUCCCGCUCGGUGCUCG
rnacentral:tRNA from 1 species